rnacentral:rRNA from 1 species
ACAAGCGGUGGAGUAUGUGGUUUAAUUCGAUGCAACGCGAAGAACCUUACCUGGUCUUGACAUCCCGGAGACCCGUUAGGAAACUAGGGGGUGCUUCCAUCUGGAAGAAUCUGGAGACAGGUGCUGCAUGGCUGUCGUCAGCUCGUGUCGUGAGAUGUUGGGUUAAGUCCCGCAACGAGCGCAACCCUUGCCUUUAGUUGCCAGCAGUUCGGCUGGGCACUCUAAAGGGACUGCCGGUGUUAAACCGGAGGAAGGUGGGGAUGACGUCAAGUCCUCAUGGCCUUUAUGACCAGGGCUACACACGUACUACAAUGGCCGAUACAAAGGGCAGCGACACUGCGAGGUGAAGCCAAUCCCGUAAAAUCGGUCUCAGUCCGGAUUGGAGUCUGCAACUCGACUCCAUGAAGUUGGAAUCGCUAGUAAUCGUGGAUCAGCAUGCCACGGUGAAUACGUUCCCGGGCCUU